rnacentral:lncRNA from 1 species
GUAUAUGCUGCUAACCAAACACAAUAUAUUUUUGCCUAGAGUCUGCUAAAGACUGCAUCAGCAGGGAACUUGAGACUUAUUCUCUUCCAAACUAAAACAAAAACUCCACAGUGGCGUCUCUUUUAAAGAAUUAACAAUUUGACUAAUAAGAUCCUCAAGUCCAGAUGGCUUUUGAAUUCGUUGAUACUGCCUUGGUUUACAGCACAAGAUGAUUUUCCAGAGAGAAGUCUCUGCAUAUCUACAAUAAGUUCAAUCCUUGACAAUUGGCGGCAGAGCCAUCAACUGACUGGGAUAAUUAAGAAAUUUCUAAUUGUGUGACUUUAAAAAAUGUGCAGCUGAUUUACAAGGUGAGUGUAUGUAUUUGUAGCAUGCAAUAUUUGCCCAUAUUAAACAGAGAU